AGAGCGGCGCACGGGUGAGUAACGCGUACGUAACCUGCCCUUCAGUGGGGAAUAGCGGGGGGAAGCUGGGAUNNAUGCCCCAUGGUACUUUCGAUCUGCCUGGAUUGAAAGUUAAAGCUUCGGCGCUGAAGGAUGGACGUGCGUCUGAUNAGCUGGUUGGUGAGGUAACGGCUCACCAAGGCGACGAUCAGUAGGGGGCGUGAGAGCGUGACCCCCCACACGGGUACUGAGACACGGACCCGACUCCUACGGGAGGCAGCAGUAAGGAAUAUUGGGCAAUGGAGGCAACUCUGACCCAGCCAUCCCGCGUGCAGGAAGACGGCCCUACGGGUUGUAAACUGCUUUUAUGAAGGAAGAAAGGUUGGCAUUUAUGCUGAUUUGACGGUACUUUAGGAAUAAGCACCGGCUAACUCCGUGCCAGCAGCCGCGAGUAUACGGAGGGUGCGAGCGUUAUCCGGAAUCACUGGGUUUAAAGGGUGCGUAGGCGGACUGAUAAGUCAGAGGUGAAAGUCUGCGGCUUAACCGUAGAAUUGCCUUUGAUACUGUUGGGCUUGAGUCAGGUAGAGGUUGGCGGAAUGUGACAUGUAGCGGUG
rnacentral:rRNA from 1 species